rnacentral:tRNA from 1 species
GGACCCGUAGCUUAAAUGGAAAAGUUCCUGGCUUCGAACCAGGUAGAUGCAGGUUCAAAUCCUGCCGGGUUCU